rnacentral:sRNA from 1 species
GCUGGGUGUAGUGGUGUGCACCUGUAAUUCCAGCAACUUGGGAUGCUGAGGCAGGAGGACUGCAAGUUUGAGGCCAGCCUCAA